GACGAUGGUUACUAAUUUGAAAUUUGAGAAGGUUAGAAAAUCUAUUAGUAACCAGCCCAUUAAGUGUUGGAUACAAAUUUUGAGUCAAAUAAAAUUUCUUACACAAUAUUUAUUAUUUUCUUAAAAACCUAAGUACUGUAGUUUUUUUAUUCUUUUCACUUACGUUUUUGACUUAAUGAGUUCUAAUACUGUAUACUCCUUUAUCUUCCAAUAUCUUCUCCUUUUCCUCAAUAAAACUAAACGGUUGAAAUUCUCAAUCAAAAUUGCUUUUUGUUAAUGAAGAAUGAUAUGAAAUUCAGCAAACGUGGGCUAUAUUGAGGUUAAAGAAGAAGAUCAAAACGAGCAGAAAUCGGGUUGUAUUUGUUUUUGCUUCGUUUGCUACUACUUAAGCUUAUCCUUAAUUACCAGACUCUUAGUGUUCAUCGAAGCUUCUCAAUCUGAGGUCAAGAAGGCUUUCUGACGCCUUGCUUUGCAGGCAGCAGGAAUUUGAAAAGUCGGCUAUAGGAAAAGUUGUUCGCGCAUAUGCAACAAAAGAAAAGCAGUGUGAAAACACUAAUAAGGGUGAACCAAGUCUACAGAAUUUUGUCGCAAUAUCAAGUGUUCAGUGAGAACUACUGCUAUCCCGGCCUAUACAGAAUAGUCAAAUUUGUGAAGCAGGCAAAAUAAACAAAAUCGUCAAAAUUUGAAGGUUGACCAUUGUAUCAAUUAACUAACUAGCUUAUUUUAGUUAUAGAGUAUUAUUUAUUGUGAAUUGUGAGAGAAAUAUUUGUAAUUUACAAUUACAUCAAUUCAAUGUAAUUGACAAGGUGUCGCUUAAAGUUGGUCUUAGAUUAGUUACAUUGAUAGUUAUUGUAUUUUAUAAAAGUUUAUUGACUAUUAAUGGUCAUUAC